GAUGAACGCUAGCGGCAGGCCUAAUACAUGCAAGUCGGACGGGAUCUAUCGGAGAGCUUGCUCGAAGAUAGUGAGAGUGGCGCACGGGUGCGUAACGCGUGAGCAACCUACCCAUAUCAGGGGGAUAGCCCGGAGAAAUCCGGAUUAAGACCGCAUAACACUGUGAUUUGGCCUCAUGUUACAGUUAAAUAUUUAUAGGAUAUGGAUGGGCUCGCGUGACAUUAGCUAGUUGGUGAGGUAACGGCUCACCAAGGCGACGAUGUCUAGGGGCUCUGAGAGGAGAAUCCCCCACACUGGUACUGAGACACGGACCAGACUUCUACGGGAGGCAGCAGUAAGGAAUAUUGGUCAAUGGGCGGAAGCCUGAACCAGCCAUGCCGCGUGCAGGACGACUGCCCUAUGGGUUGUAAACUGCUUUUGUCGAGGAAUAAACCUAUCUACGUGUAGAUAGCUGAACGUACUCGAAGAAUAAGGAUCGGCUAACUCCGUGCCAGCCGCCGCAGUAAAAC
rnacentral:rRNA from 1 species